rnacentral:rRNA from 1 species
GUCCAGACUCCUACGGGAGGCAGCAGUGGGGGAUAUUGCACAAUGGGGGGAACCCUGAUGCAGCGACGCCGCGUGGGUGAAGGAGUGCUUCGGCAUGUAAAGCCCUAUCGGCAGGGAAGAAGCAAGACGGUACCUGACUAAGAAGCCCCGGCUAACUACGUGCCAGCAGCCGCGGUAAUACGUAGGGGGCGGGCGUUAUCCGGAUUCACUGGGUGUAAAGGGAGCGUAGACGGCCAUGCAAGCCAGGGGUGAAAGCCCGGGGCCCAACUCCGGGACUGCCCUUGGAACUGCAUGGCUGGAGUGCGGGAGGGGCAGGCGGAAUUCCUGGUGUAGCGGUGAAAUGCGUAGAUAUCAGGAGGAACACCGGCGGCGAAGGCGGCCUGCUGGACCGAAACUGACGUUGAGGCUCGAAAGCGUGGGGAGCAAACAGGAUUAGAUACCCGGGUAGC